UACGUAGGGUGCGAGCGUUGUCCGGAAUUACUGGGCGUAAAGAGCUCGUAGGUGGUUUGUCGCGUUGUUCGUGAAAUCUCACGGCUUAACUGUGAGCGUGCGGGCGAUACGGGCAGACUUGAGUACUGCAGGGGAGACUGGAAUUCCUGGUGUAGCGGUGAAAUGCGCAGAUAUCAGGAGGAACACCGGUGGCGAAGGCGGUUCUCUGGGCAUUACCUGACGCUGAGGAGCGAAAGUGUGGGGAGCGAACAGG
rnacentral:rRNA from 1 species